AAAUCUCAGGAAAUUUGAUUAUAAUGUAUUUAGGUGAAGAAAACAACAGAAGCGUUUAACAAUUAUUUCAACAACAACCCUGCAACAGCAACAUCUGGGGGGACAACAGCAGAUAAAAAGUGGGACCCAGAGGAUCUGAUAAAAAUGCCUCCACCAAAAUUUGUACCAAUCAAAAAACGAAAAUCUAAAAGAACAAUAGAUUUCAGCGCGAGCAGAAGCGCGCCGGUCACUCCAGUCGGCCGGUCACCAGCUAAGGACAUAAUACCUGAACUAGACGAGAAGGGGAGUGAUAGUGACACAGAGUUUGGAUUUGGUAGUAGAUGGUCUAAUGUUUAGGGUGGAUUUGGUAGUAGGUGGUUUAAUAUAUAGGUUGUAUUUGGUAGAAGAUGGUCUAAUUUUUAGUUUGGAUUUGGUAGUAGAUGGUCUAAUGUUUAGUUGGAUUUGGUAUUAGGUUUGUCUAAUUUUUAGUUGAAUUUGGUAGUAGAUGGUCUAAUUUUUAGUUGAAUUUGGUAGUAGAUUGUUUAAUGUUUAGUUGAAUUUGGUAGUAGAUGGUCUAAUGUUUAGGUUGGAUUUGGUAGUAGGUGGUCUAAUGUUUAUCUUUACUUGCCAGUAUUUUAAUACUUUUAAUAAUUACAUAAAAAAUAUGUUUUCAGGUCAAAUUCUGUACUAAUUUAUAUUAAGUAAAGGUUUUAAACGUCUAGAAUGUCUUAACCAGUGGCAGUAGUUAAAUUGCUCACAAAUUAUGGUAUCGAACUUGGAAUAUAAAUGAGAGGGUUUGCUGUUAGGAAAGUAUCUGCUAUUCCAUUGUUAAAUUUUGAAUGGUUAUUAGUGUACAAUCAGUAUUUAAUUAACCCUGAAAUAUGCAGUAGUAUUGACCGCAUGUAGCUGUCUGCCCUGUGGAUGGUUUCUGUAACUUGACUACAGGGUGUCUCAAUAAACACACCAUGACUAAGUAAAUGGUUGAACUCGUCUUUUCUUAACUUUAUUUGAAAUAUAAUUUGACAUCGGAAAAAAGUCUAAAAGACAAGUUGAAUUGAUUUCCCAUGUUUAUUGAGACAUCUCGUAUAUAAAUGCUUAAUAUAGUUUUAACAUAGUUUUAAAAAUUUGAAAUUCAAGUUUUGUGCUAUAAAUAAGAUUACUCUUUUGCAGUGCUAUAUUUACAAUUAUAUUUAAGUUAACAACAUUUUUUACGAAUUUGGUUUUCUUAAAAUGUUUUUUUUUUACUAGAAAAUUUUAUUUUAAUAUUAUCUUUAGAAUUGCUCAGAAGUAAAUAAAUUCUUUCCUUCAUUUUGUUCCUUGGAAACUUUUAUUUUAAAGAAUAAUCAAAAAAAGACCUUUUUGAAUUUUUUUUGGUGGGGGGGGCCCCAUCCACUUAUUCCAACCAGAUUAUGUGAUUAACUUGUAUUUAUUCCGUCGCAAGUAAAAGUAGUAACCUCACAAUCAAACUAUUCAUGACAAAAUUUAUAAUUUUAUAUUGAUCCUUUUAAUGAUAAUUGCACUUGGCUCACCCGAGAUUUUUGAUAUUUUGUAAACUGUUGAGAAAGAUGGUGAAAUAGUUAGUAUUUGAACAGUAUAUAUAUAUAUAGUUAUAAUUUAUAUAUUUACACCUAGAAAAUAAACUAUUCUAACUUG
rnacentral:lncRNA from 1 species